UGGGGAAUUUUGGACAAUGGGCGCAAGCCUGAUCCAGCAAUGCCGCGUGAGUGAAGAAGGCCUUCGGGUUGUAAAGCUCUUUUGUCAGGGAAGAAACGGUGAGGGCUAAUAUCCCUUGCUAAUGACGGUGCCUGAAGAAUAUGCACCGGCUAACUACGUG
rnacentral:rRNA from 1 species